UUUUAAACAUCAUUAUAUUUUGUUUAUUGUAGACAUUGUCGGACAAGUCAUUGAUGUUGGAGACAUCCACGUUGCUCAAGUUUUUGGAAAAGAGAAGAAGAAAUUCCAAUUUCUUCUCAUGAAUUGAAAGUAAUUAUUCAUAUAUAAGUUAAUUUCAUUUUACAAGGAUAUGAUGCUAACGUGAUAAUGUCGAUGACGAUGACAUUGAACAAUAUCUCCGCACAGCGUAAUUUUCUGAUAAACCAUACGGGUCAUCUUUUUUUUGGUAGGAAACCAUACGGGUCAUCUACCAAUACUAAAAGGGAGAUAUGCUCAAUGGAGAGAGAUGCCACCUCAGAUCAAAAAAUCAUUUAAUAAAAAUAAAAUUUAGUGCCACAUCAUCGUGUUAUUCUCGGUCUCGCAGAUAAAGAUGGUUGAGCAGUCCGUUCCUGUUCAUCUCUCUUUCUCUCAGCGUAAAUUUUUUAUGCCUUUUGACAUUAUAUCGAUGCGUCUUCAUCUUCUCACCCUCUUCCCAUCCUCACUAUAUAAAUGAUGCCUUUUGACACUCAAAUCUAAAUAUUCUUCACACAGUGCAGCAAUUGCCAAAACACCAAUUCUCGCCAUCGCCUCCUAUCUAGGUUACAGCGUCGCUCCUCCAUAGCAUUCGUAGAAUGCACUGCUACAGUUUGCGAGAGUGGUGAAGGCCAAAUAACAAGUUGUAGGCUAGAAAGAGGAAGUUUUAAGAACCCACAGUGUGUGUGAAGCCAUGGAUGAACUUCAAGUAGUUGCAUGAGUUUAUACAUGCCAGUAAUGAUGCGCCUACCAUACUCUCUCAGAUCUUGGUUGCCAAAAAGGAGGUCCUGAAAACAUCCAAAUCACAGCUUUUGCCAUUGCCUUGAAACAAGUAGCCAUUCCAGAGAACAAAGCUUGCAUACAGCAGAUGAAGAAAACGCAAGUUUUAGCAUUGGCUCUGCUUAGAAGAAAAUGCAGACUGGUUACAGGUGUUGUUGUGGGAUCUCACUCCUUUGGGCUUAACUGGGACACCGGAGGCGACAACCCGAGGCUGUAUAGAGUCUGAUUUCGAGUCAAUAACGGACUUUCUGAUGAAGGCAACUCAUAUAACAAGUGCGUUGCAGAGAAAACAUGGUUAGCCGCACAAGGAGUUUGUGAAGAGUCUAUGUGAGAUUAGGAACCGAGUCGAAGCAUUCGCUUUGCAGUAUGAGAUGCAUGCUUCUAGCUAUCAGAGAGAUAUAGCAACUGCUCAACAAGUAUCCAAAACAAGCGGCGCUCCCGCGAAGAAUUUUGAUUUCUAAGUUUUGAAGCCUAUAACUCUUUAGAGUAUCAUCACCAGUGAGCCAAACGGUUGCCUCUUCUGAGUCACUCUCAGAUUGGAUGCUUGACAGUGCUUCCAGCUGCUAUUACAACCAGACCAAUGGUCUGGCACUAUGACUCAGAUUGUGGAUUCAAUUACAGUUACGUAACAAUUAUAGUUUUUUCAUUUUCUUUCGGAUAGAAUUGUAUACAAUUUCUUUCUUCAUGUGGGAUUACACUGAUAAUCAAAAAGGACGUUGGAUGACACAAGCUGAAGCAUACACUGCGGUUGAAGAAUACGAGGCAAUAGGCAACCAAGUCAAGCGUGCCUAGGAUGGUUGGUAAUAUGGUUUAUGGAGGAAGUCCAGUGUCAGCUGCACUCUCUGUUGGGAGACGAGAGUUCUAUGCUCUGUUUAUUGAAGAAGGUUUAGAUUGGAGCAGUAUCCCUUGGAAAAAGGAAGCCAUGAAAAGUUUUGAGAAAGUCAUCAAACUCGCUGAAAAAAGUAAAUUUUGAAGCAUGACAUGGUUGCUGAUAAGAGAUACUUUGUCUGAGUUUGAUCCUGAUUUAAGUAUGAUGGAAUAUGAACAAGAAGGUUAUGGAUUGACUAGGAGUGUAGGGUCUUCUUCAAGGAGGGAUAUAUUUUUAGUGGCACAAGAUCAAGAAAUCUGCUUCGGGGAUGUUUCAUUACGGAUGAACUUUUAAUGCAAUGCAUGUGUAGGAUUGAGGGAGAGUAGUAUGUAUUUUAAAUUCCCACUACUCCACUCCGUACAUUUUCGGAUUCUAUGCAAUGCAUGUGUAUGAGUGAGACUAGCUUUGUAUGCAUUUUAAAUUCCCACUAUUCUAUUUCAAACUUUCUUGGAAUC